AUUUAGAUACAAUAGCUGGUGAGAAAUAUUUAAUAUCGUGCAUGAUUAUCAUCAUUUUCUCCCGUGAUUUUAGGAUUUGGAAUUUGGGUUCGAGCUAGACUCCUAUUUGCCUUCUGAAGAAAAACUCCGUAAUCUGCCAAACUCCUCUUUACCAGGAAGACAGGGCAAUCCUGAUGGUGCUGGCUCGGACAGCAAAUUGAGGGGAGGAUUGUUGAAAAAUAUGAAACAAAUUUGUACACAUUGCAGCACGCACCAUUGUCCUCGAGAAGAUUUUCAGAGACGGAGAAAUUGAUCGAUGAAAUUCAAGGCCAUCGCCGAAUAAGCUGUACAGGGUCUCAUCAAGGUUGUACAAAAGUUUUUCGAGCAACAUACAAAUAACUAAAUGACCCAAACAUGGCAAUCCAGUCAACAAAAACUAAGCAUUACAAGUAAGAAUAAUAUGACAGUCCUGAACCACAAA